rnacentral:rRNA from 1 species
AGCCCAUUAGCUAGCCCACCCCCUCACAAACAACAACCCCCAUCAAUAAACCUCAAUUUACAGAACCCCCGCCAAUCAAACCAUUUUACCCCUCUAGUACAGGAGAUCGAAAAAGAAAUUAAAGAGCUAUAGAAAAAGUACCGCAAGGGAACGCUGAAAGAGAUAUGAAAAAGCCUAGUAAAGCCUAAAAAAGCAGAGAUUCCCCCCUCGUACCUUUUGCAUCAUGAUUUAGCCAGAAUACUCAAGCAAAGAGACCUUUAGUUUGACCCCCCGAAACUAGGUGAGCUACUCCAAGACAGCCUUUUAAGAAGGGCAAACCCGUCUCUGUGGCAAAAGAGUGGGAAGAGCUUUGAGUAGGGGUGACAGACCUAUCGAACUUAGUUAUAGCUGGUUACCUGGGAAAUGGAUUUGAGUUCAGCGUGACGGCUUCUCCUCUCUUUCUUAUGCCCGCAUAUUAUACAGACCCAAAAGAAACCGUCAUAGUCAGUCAAAAGGGGUACAGCUCUUUUGAAACAGGACACAACCUUUUAAGGCGGAUAAAGAUCAAAUUUAGUAAGGAUAAAUAUUCCAGUGGGCCUAAGAGCAGCCAUCACUACAGAAAGCGUUAAACCUCAGACAUAUUUACCCUCCCUUGAUCCCGAUAAUAACAUCUUAAUCCCCUAAAUUGUACCAGGCCGCCCUAUGCUUACAUAGGAGUGACUAUGCUAAUAUGAGUAAUAAGAGAGCACCCCUCUCUCCCUGCACACGUGUAACUCGAAACGGACUCCCCACCGAAUCUUAACGGCCCCAAUUAAAGAGGGUAAUGUGACACAACCAUGACUAACAAGAAAACCCCACACAUAUUAACCGUUAACCCUACACAGGAGUGCUUCCAAGGAAAGACUAAAAGAAGGAAAAGGAACUCGGCAAACACUUGAAGCCUCGCCUGUUUACCAAAAACACCGCCUCUUGCUAAAAACAAUAUAUAAGAGGUCCUGCCUGCCCAGUGACACCUGUUUCAACGGCCGCGGUAUUUUGACCGUGCUAAGGUAGCGAAAUCACUUGUCUUUUAAAUGUAGACCUGUAUGAACGGCAAAACGAGGGCUUUACUGUCUCCUCCUUCAGGUCAAUGAAAUUGAUUUCCCCGUGCAGAAGCGGGGAUAGACACAUAAGACGAGAAGACCCUAUGAAGCUUUAGAUACCAAAGCAGUACCUGUCAAUCACCCUUCAAAUAAGGGCCAAAACUUAUUGAACACUGCCCUAGUAUCUUAGGUUGGGGCGACCCUGGAGAAAUACAAAACCUCCAUGUGGACUGGAAGCACCUUCAUAAUUUAAUUUUUGACACCUUUAUGCUUCUAUAAACUUGAAACACAAUUCUAGUUACCAGAAAUUUUGACCAAAUAUGAUCCGGCAACGCCGAUUAACGAACCAAGUUACUCUAGGGAUAACAGCGCAAUCCUCUUUUAGAGCCCAUAUCGACAAGGGGGUUUACGACCUCGAUGUUGGAUCAGGACAUCCUAAUGGUGCAACCGCUAUUAAGGGUUCGUUUGUUCAACGAUUAAAGUCCUACGUGAUCUGAGUUCAGACCGGAGUAAUCCAGGUCAGUUUCUAUCUAUGACAUGCUCUUUUUUAGUACGAAAGGACCGAAAAGAAGAAGCCAAUACUAAGGAUACGCUUCCCUCUCUCAACUUAGUGAAAACAUCUAAACUAAACUAAAGGACAUAACCCUCCCCGCCCAAGAUAAGGGCAC